UGGGGAAUAUUGGACAAUGGGCGCAAGCCUGAUCCAGCCAUGCCGCGUGAGUGAUGAAGGCCUUAGGGUUGUAAAGCUCUUUUAUCCGGUACGAUAAUGACGGUACCGGAGGAAUAAGCCCCGGCUAACUUCGUGCCAGCAGCCGCGUUAAUACGAAGGGGGCUAGCGUUGCUCGGAAUCACUGGGCGUAAAGGGCGCGUAGGCGGCGUUUUAAGUCGGGUGUCAAAGCCUUUGGCUCAACCACAGAAUGACCUUCGAUACUGGGACGCUUGAGUAUGGUAGAGGUUGGUGGAAAUGCGAGUGUAGAGGUGAAAUUCGUAGAUAUUCACAAGAACACCGGUGGCGAAGGCGGCCAACUGGAACAUUACUGACGCUGGGGCGCGAAAGCGUGGGGAGCAAACA
rnacentral:rRNA from 1 species